GCAAGUCGAACGAGGUAGCAAUACCUAGUGGCGGACGGGUGAGGAAUACGUAGGGAUCUGCCUUUAAGUGGGGGAUAACCCGGGGAAACCCGGAUUAAUACCGCAUGAUCUCGCAAGAGCAAAGUGGGGGAUCGCAAGACCUCACGCUUUUAGAGGAACCUACGUCGGAUUAGCUUGUUGGUGAGGUAAUGGCUCACCAAGGCGACGAUCCGUAACUGGUCUGAGAGGAUGAUCAGUCACACUGGAACUGAGACACGGU
rnacentral:rRNA from 1 species